CCCCGCCUCCAGUGCCAGUCUGCUGCACCCGACGCGGCGGCCAUCCCCAUUCGUCCGCCUCAGCAUCAAGCCCCGCCUCCGCGGCAAAUGCCACCCGACAAGAGCCUAACAACGAACGACUCGGCCCUUGGGUCUUCUCGCUGGGCUCCUGAAGCCCAACGACGGCGAAGCUCCAUCCACCGGCGGCAAGCCCCGCCCCACUGCGCUCGCCGCCGCUAGGCCCCGCUCAUUCCGUGAGUGCUCCACCUGAUCCACCGCUGCGCCGCGCCCACUUAGCUGUCAGUCAGUCCCUCCGAAUGGAAAUGUCUCAGCCCAACCCUCUUCUCUCGAGGCUCCACCCUCGGGGCGGGGCUUAUUUCUCACACUCUGCGGCUGCGUGGUGACCGGGUCUCUGCCCAGCCCAGGAGCUCUGCACAUGCGUACUUAGGUGUGGGCAGGUAACUGGAAAAGAAGGUUGGGAGUGGAGGAACUCUGGCCUCUGAGGCUCUGAAACCUGGGUUGCAGUGCGCUGCCAGCUGCCUCGUCUGCUUCUCAGAGAGUCAGUGCUGUCCCGCUGAGCCAGCAGGAGAAGAAAAUCGUCACGUAUUCCCAACCAGAAGAAGAGGAUCGCGACUCGCGUUUCCCUUGUGGGACACGAUAAAAACCACCCAGAGACACUUCAGUGAAGUGCAGCUCAGCUUUUCAUAACCCUCUGCCCUUGAACUGCUACCUUGGCUUCCCUGGAUGCUGAACCACAAGCUGUUAUAUAAAGUAAGCCUUUUCUUCACCAUGUUGGUUCUAGUUAGGGUUUUAUCACAGCAAUAGAAAGCAAUUUUAAGGUGUGUAAUUGCUCCAGGCUUUUAUUCAGUGUACUUAAGUUCUGUCUCCUCCCCAAUGUAAAUACUUCCCUAAUUGUUUAGUCUAUUACAAUUUUUCUUAAA